GCCUCCCGGGCAGCCUCUCCCUCCGGCCGCGUCUCGGGGCUCCGCUGACCGCUGGCGUCCCCUGGACCGAGCCCCCGAGCGGCCCCGGCCCCGGCCCGGGCCCCCGCUGCGGGCCCCUCUCGGGCUGUCUUUCUUUCCAGCUCCCUCCGGCCGCGAUUCCCACGCCUGGAGCUGCAGGUGAUGCUCUUCCUCUUCUGCAGCUGAAACUCGUCGCGACGCGUCGCCUGCCGGGGGUUUGCAGGGAGGAAGCGCGAACAGCCUCUGCAGCCUGGCCGGGGCGCCUUGGACUUUGUAGCCCUCCAACUUCUGGAGGUAACAAAGGUGUUUGUAUAGAGCGGUGGUUCUCAAAGUGUGGUCUCAGACCAGCAGCACCAGCAUUUCCUGGGGACUUGUUAGAAGUGCUGAGGUCAGGCCCUGCCCAAGGUCGACUGAAUCCAAAACUCCCAGGGGGGCUGAGCAAUCUGCUCUCAUAGACCCUGCAGAUGAUUCGGACCUGUGUUCAAGUAGUUUAGCUGCCAUUUCUGCACAGGGGCCUCUCCUGCAAACUGCGGAGAAGCCUGUGCGUAACUGCCUGCCCCUGUACUGAACCGCCUGCCGGCACCAGCACCGUUCCUGCCAUCUGAGCCCGCCCUUAUGAAGGAGUCCCACCAGGGGCAAGGACUUCUGUCUAUGUAAGCCAGCCCACCACUUGCUGGGAGAAAGCACUUUCCCCUUUCCCAGAUCCUGAAGACUGCCUUUCUGUGGCUCAGCAUGUGGAGCAGCCCAGGCCAGCACGAGGCAGACCAGCCAGGGGCAGAGCAGAGCAGACCAUGGAGCAGAGCAGAGCUGUCUAGCCUGGGAGGGGCCUGUUCCUGUGGCUGCCUCGCAGCCCUGCUGCCUCACAGUGAGCUGGUGUGCACUGAAUAAAGUUUUCUUCUUCAUAACACCCCAAAUUGGGGAUUCCUGUGGGCGUUGAACUGACACCAGUGACCAUCAGUUCACAAAGCUAAUAGCAGCUACAGUGCUAUUUUUAAACUAAUGCUUUGAUGUACACAUACAGAGUGAAAUGAUCACUACAGUCAAGCUAAUGAACAUUUCCAUCUCCUCACAUGAUUGUGUGUGUGUGUGUGUGUGUGUGUGUGUGUGUGUGUGUGGUGAGAGAACCCUCUGAGGUCUCUCUCUGAGCAAGUUUCCAGUGCACAGUACAGUAAACUGACUACAGUUACCAUGCUGUAUGCACACCAGCUCUCCAGAACUUAUUCAUCCUAAGUAACUGAAACUUUGUACCUUUUGACCAAUAUCUUCCCAAUUCCCCCACCUCCCCACCCUGGUAACCAUGGAUCUACUCUCUGCUUCUGUGAUUUUCACUUUAAUACAUUCCACAUAUAAGUGAGCUCAUGCAAUAUUUUUCUUUCUAUGCCUGACUUAUUUUACUUAGAAAAAUGUCCUCCAGGUUCGUCCAUGUUGUUACAAUGGCAGGAUCUCCAUCUAUUUAAUGGCUGAAGGAUAUUCCAUUGUACACAGUGGCUACCUGCCAAUCCAUGCCUUCUGUUCAGCAGCCCUAACUGCAAAUAAGAGCCGACGGUGAGAUGAUGGCACCAAAGACAGGCACCACAAAUUCUGAGGUCUUGUCCCAUUUUCUGGAAUCAUGUUAGGAAAUAGCACAAUCUGUGUCUGGAUGACUGAGAUACCUGGCAUUCUCUAAUGCUGCUCAAGUGGAAGAAGGUAUGAGGGCCACUUACGCACUGUUAACAGGGUUUUGAAUAGGGCCAUUUGGAUGCAAAUUAGCCAGGAAAUGAACUCCAAUAGAAGUGCUUAUUUAAAUAUAUAUUCAUUUAAAUAUAUAUUCAUAUAUAUAUUCUGAUUUUGAGUUGUCCUGUUUAAGUAAAAAUGUAUAUAAUUUGCCUUUAGACUGUGUGUGUGUGUAUGUGUGUGUGUGUUUAGCAAUGGAAAUAUAUUCUGGUUUUCUUUUAGGUCCAAAUACUUCCUGUUGAAUAGUUCUUUUUGAGCAGUGGUUUUUUAGUGUACAUUUUAAAAAUAGUGAGUGAUUCUGUUAAGAAGGCUAACUUUUUGGUAGACUUUGGUCCAGCAACUCAAGUAAACCCACUUCUGCGAACCUUCAGGAUGCACUAAGUUCUUUCUUUGUUAAGUUUAGUGUUCUGUAAUGGAUGAUGAAUUCGUUUUUGAAAUCCGCUCUUCAGGCAACUUCUAUUUGGUGUUGCAUUUUAUUUUAAAACUUUCUUCUGUGAAACGUAGGCAGUUUCAUAACUAGCUAAGUAGGAAGGUUUCAAAGACAAGCAAGCAUCUUAUUAUUCACAUCACAGUGUUUAUACCAUCGAGUAUUCCUGAUUUGUGCUGUCCCCCACAGGCUGCGUACACAGGACACGGUGACUCCAAUCCUGAUGCUUUUUGAGAAGGGACAGGGCAGACCAAGCAAUUUUUCAUCACUAAUGGUGGCACUGGGAUAUACCAUCGUGGCAAGAUGCGUGAAUUCAUUUUUGGGCAAAAUUACAAAACUAAGUGUAGAAAGGUUCUUUGAAACCCCCACUUUAAAACGUGGUGGAUGUUUUUAUGCAUCCAAUGAAAUUCCCUACCACUUAACUUUAUUUCAGGCUCAGAUCUGACCCUUGCCUGGAUAAGUCUGCGUUGUACUUUCCUGUGCAAAGACUUCGUUCAGUGCAUCCACCCAGUAACCUUGUGAAGAAACUUACUGACAGGACUGUGUUGCUGAAGUGGACACGUGAUACAUUGGGAAGAGGUGGGGUUUGCAGGCAGACAGACCUACCUGUGAUGUGGAACAAGUUACUUAACAGCUUGGAACCUUCGUUUUCUUAUGUAAAAUUGUACAUGACAUUUACCCAGUAGGUUAUUAAAAUUACGUGUGUAAAUAUUUAACAACAUCUGAGACAUAGCAAGCCCUUAAAUAUGUUUCAACUUCUUUCGCUUUUUAAUAUAUUUGUUAUCUAUUAACGGUUGUAAAAUGUAUGCAAGUUAUACUUAUGUAAUAACCUGGAAGCCUGUUUAUUAGUAUACGUUUAAAAGACAUAGAUUAGAAAACUGUUACGUAGGAAAUUUGAUCUUCUAGCUUAAAUACAACUCUUCAAGCUGAACUCUGAUAAGCUUUCUCUUGAAGGUUUGGGUCUUUAAACUAUCUUUAGCCCUGUUAUCAGUGUUUCUGAGAGGGCCAUUUGGAUGCAAAUUAGCCAGAAAAUGAACUCCAAAAGAAGCAUUCAUUUAGAGACCAAUAUUGUACUCUGAUCCAAAGAACUUCCUCAUCGAAUGCGAUCACACAAAGGUCAGUAGUAAUAAAACAAAACAUAAAUCAAAGUAGAGCCUUCCUAUAACGCAACAGCCAUACACUCAAAUCAAUCAAAAUUAUUUACAAAUAUGUCGUUAUUGUAGCAUCUCUUGGUUCUUUGUGUUUAUGCAAAUUUUUUACUACCCUGGGCAAUAUAAAAAAGAUUUCAUUGUUUAGUAAAUAUCUGUCACUUACCUAAAUUAAGGACAUUGAAGAGCAAGCAAGCUCACAUUACUUAUCUUAAGAUGUUAAUUACUGUGAGUCCUUUCUUUUUUCUGUGCUGGUGGUUGUCAAACUUUAUCAGGCAUCAGAACCAGAGCUUGUUGAAACACUGAUUGCUGGGCUCCACCCACAGUUUCUGAUUCAAUAGAUCAGACUGCAGCCUGGGAAUUUGCAUUUCUAACAAGUUCACACCCCUACCCCUUGGUGAGGAGCAGGAAAGGAAAUGCCUAAAGCUCAGAGGGAGUAGAGAAACCCUGUUGUUUUUCUCUUUCUUUACUCUGCUCUCCCAAGCCCCAACCUUGGAAUAGAGCUAUAGUCAAGCCACUGUCCCACUAAGAGAAAAAUAAAUGUUUUGUCCUGUAAACCUCUGAGAUUUGGGGGUUGUUUGUUAUCCUAGCAAAAGCUAACUAAUGCAUAUCAUUGCAUUGCAAUGUUGUUUAAAUAGUGACAUUUGGAAAUGAUCUAAACAUUCAUUAAAAAGAAUGAAUAAAUAAAUUGUGGAAUAUUCAGGUCAGAAUAAAAUGUAGCAGUUAAAUUGAGUGAACAAUAUAUAAAUAUCUAUCAAUAUACAAAUCUUAAAAACAAUAAGAAGGAUAAAAAAAAAACCCACUACAGGAGGCUACAUACAGUAUUAAUACAAUUUAUAUAAAUUUUAGAAAAUGCCAAAUACUAUUAUAUAUUACUUAUAAUAUAUACUAUAUGGUGAAAUUAUUAAAACUUGAAUAGAAUAAUAAAUACUGAAUUCAGAAAAGUGGUUAGAUCUCAAAGGAUAGUGAAAAGAAUGAGAUUGGUGAGCAGUGAAGAACAGAGAGCUUUUUGUGUCUGUAAAGUCUUAUUCCUUAAAGAGAUUUGACAAAGCUAGGUGCUGGGAGCAUGAAUGUACUAUUCUGCAUCCCUUAUAGGUGGAGUGGGUCAGAGCACAAUAAAACAGAUCUUUCAAAGCAAAGAGCUUUUGUUAGUAAUAUUUUAUUGACAACUCAUUAGGUCUAACAGCUUCAGGUGUGUGGCUGAUGAGAGAGGCUGGGAUUUUGAAAUGCUUGCCAAUCAAAAAACAAAACAAUAGAAAUAAGGGGUUCAAAGUAUUUGUAGAUUGGCCUUGGAUGUGAAACAGGGACACAGAUAUCAAACAGUGCAUGUACUGUCCUCUUCCUUUUUUGAAUGCUGAUUCAUUUGGUUGGAGAGUUUGGUUUUGUUUUCGGAGAAUCAAACUCCUAUUGCUCCUGGGAACGAGGUGGAGGUUCUUGGGGUGCCACUGAAACAAGCAUUUUCAGAAGCCCCCACGGGAGGAUGGGAUGUGGAAGAUUGUAUUGGCGUGGAGUUGCAUUUCUCAGGUUCCAAAGUCCCUGUCCCUUGCGCCAGGCCUGGAAAGGGUGCAGCUGGGGUUCCAGCAGAGCCAGGCACAAGGCCAGGGGCCAGAGCUUCCGUUCCAAGUUGUAGUUCAGCAUUCAGCUAAUUAGAGUCCAUUAGUCCAUGUGUGGAGGCCCACAUGGCUGUGGGCCACACGGGUGCAGGGGAACACACCCCCUGCCACAGGAGAGCCAGGAACCUGGAACCCGGAGCGUGACAGGGAGAAGAGAGACAGA